ensembl:lincRNA 9530082P21Rik RIKEN cDNA 9530082P21 gene
AGGAAGGGCGGCUACUGACCUGGGGCUAUGGGUUAUGCUGGUUCUUCGUUGCCCCUCCCUCACAGGAGGCCUGGGAAGGAAAGGUUUCACUUUCGAAGGAUGAGAUGGCUAAACAGAAAGGCCCUGUCCAGUCAUUUGCAAUCAGACUUCGCCUGGUGGUUGCUACACUGACUGACUUGAGGGGGUGUCAGGGGUGUGGGGACCUCUGGGAAGAAGAUCCUGGAGACCCAACAGUAGUUGGUGAGGAAACACCAUGACUUGGUUUCAGAGUCCGCUGGUUUGGAGCAGAAAGGUAGGAACUGUAUCCUGCCCAUUCUCUCCUCCUGCUUCCCCAGACCUCUGACUCUGUCUUCUCUUUCCGCAGGAAAAUUACGGCACCAGCUGGGAGCUGCAAAUGCCUGUGGGGGUCCCAGUUGCUGCUGGUGUCCUGGCCCUCCUGGCCCUCCUGGCGUUGGCUUACCAUUGUCUCAAAGAGGCCUGGAGGUCCAGAUGCCAGCAGCCCUUGCCAUGAGGGCUGGAGGUGUCCUCAAACUGGAGAGAGCUACAGCUUGUCUUCAUCCACAGCCCGGGUCAGGGCCAGCUGGCGACCCUCUCUUCAGAGCCUCAUGGCCCUCUACAGCCUUCCCUACUGUCCCUCUGAAGACCCUACUGGUACCAGGACAGCCCCUCGGCUUUGGGUCUGAAGAGACCUCCGUGUUUCAGAGGAGGUCGUGGUAUUGGCCAAGCACCCUGCACCUGUUAAUGUGGAUGAAGGAUUGAAUCCAUGGGAGGAGGUCCUGCAGAAUAAGAACAAGAUUGGUCUCCCUGGAGUACUGGAUAUCUUCCCGAGCAAGAGGCUGUAGGCUGAGGCAAGUGGAGGAAGGCCUAAAGACCAAGUGGGCCCUGGAGACAUCCUUAAGUACAUCUCUGGUGUCUGGUCCUUAAGUGAGGUAAUCACACCUGACACACACAGCCAGGGAGAGGACCCCAUGGCAGGAACUGUGGAGUCUGCACUGGCGGGCUGAGGAGGGGCCUGAGGAGAAGUGGGUGUGGAAGCCUCCCGUUGCAAGGUGAGUAGUUGGUCUCCAGGUGAGAUGGAAGUAGAGGGAUGGAAAUGUAUAUUAAAUCCCACAGUUGCUGGGCAGUGGUGGCACAUCCUUAACGCCAGCUCUCAGGAGGCAGAGGUAGGUGGAUUUCAGUUUUAGGCCAGGUUGGUCUACAGAGUAAGUUUCAGGACAGCUACCUAGAAGGAGGACUACACAGAGAAACCAUGUUUCAUAAACCCAAAUCAAACCCCACCAUCGAGUUUUUACUUGAAAUCCUUUCUCUCUACCUGGUGCUGAGAUUACAGACAUGUGCCCCAGAGGUGCUGGGAAUCUGACUCAGGUCCUUAUAGCUAUGUAGUAAGCACUUUACUAAGUGGGCCGUUUCCCCAGCCUUCAGACUGUCUUUUUUUGACUGGAGACAAAUCUCAGGUGGAGGCCCAGGAUGGCUGGUAAUCAGAGCCAGUUAAUGACGAAGAUGAAAAGUGGGGAGUUGCCUGCCCAGGAGGUGCCCAGCGUCUCAAGAGGCAAACCUGGCCUUUGCUUGGGAUACCACUUUCAUCUGUGGCUCUCACUUGGGGUACCGCUUCCAUUUGUGGCUCACUUGGGGCACUGCUUCCAUUUGUGGCUCACUAUAACUCAUUCUCAUGAGCUCAGAAGAACUCAAGCUGAGAGGUAGUACAUGGCCCACUCUUCAAGCCUUCCCCAGGGCUGGGGAUAGCUCCUCAGCAGGUCCCCUCCAAGUCUUGAUCUAGGCCAAGCAAACACCAUUGCCCAUGAGUUACCAACCAAAUCCACAAUGUCCCCAGCACUUGGCAGGCGGUAUGUGGUUUGUGGCAGCGCAGACUAUUACUGACACACAGCAGCUCUGUACCAUGAGACUACACAGGGUUUAUUGAGGGAAUCAGAUGAGCAGAAGACAGCGGCAGGCACCAGGCCAUUACUAUCCCACAGGGGUGGCUGUUCCACGGCUUGUUUGCUAAGGGAGAGGAGCAUGCAGCUCUAUGACAUGAUGAGGACAGCUCUGGCCAGGGUGCAGCACGCAGGAAAUUCUGCCGUUCCUGGGGACAUUAGAGUGCCACUGCUGGCAUGGCUCCUGAGUCCUGCUAAACUCUUCUACAGGAGGUGGCUUUGAUGUCAUCUAACUGACCUGGUGCAUCAUGCGACACCAGGUGAGCAACCCUCAGUGGUGCCGCUGCCACUAGAGCAUGCCUACAUGGUGUCACCUCCUCCUGACAUCUGGGCUGGCUCCCAAGAACUGUGGACACAGGUUUAAGUUGGGAAAGAACGCAGGGUGCCAAGUCUGCCAGGGAGGUAGAGCGAAGCCUUUAGCCUGUUCCGCUCUGCCACAGUCAGAGCUGGGUGAGCCUUAGCAAGCAGCAAGAGACUAAAGAGCAGGCAGGCCUCACACCUGCCCCUAAAAGAUGCCACAAAGCAAAACAAACCCUGCUGUGACUUGCACUGUCUUCAGAGGGUGGCAAGAAGUUCCUGCACAUAUCCUGGCUUGGGGUGACUGCAUUUUGCUGAACUUCAUGGAGCGCACACGGGAUCACGCCCACUGGAAAGCUCUGAGCAAGGCAGCGUGCUCUGAAAGCAGAUGGUGCUGAGGCCUGGAGAGCAGAGCAGGGCAGAGGUAUAUCAUCCAGACACAGUUCUCCACAGCUGUCUAAGGUCAGGAUGGUAAGAGCAGCAUGGGACAGGCCUGCAGGCCACCCAUCCAGCUUGGUUACCACCCAAAGUCCAAGCACUCCUCCUGGGAGACCUCUGAGGAAAUGUGACAGUCCUGGGUGCUUUGGAAGAGUUGUCAUCAAGUGCAUCUGAAGGAUGGGAAACGCCUGCAAGGAUGGGAAGCAUUUGGGGUGCCAGCUGCUCCUCUGUUGCUCCAGAGAAGACUCACUUCAGCAGGACUGGCUGCUCAGUUUUUGCUCUUUGAUUUUCCUGAUGACAGAGAAAUGUGCAUCAUUACAAAGGUUUAUUUAAGCCAGGCAUGGUGGUGCACACCUUUAAUCCCAGCACUUGGGAGGCAGAGGCUGGUGGAUCUUUGUUUAUGGUUAGCCUGGUCUACAGAGUGAGUUCUAGGACAGCCAGGGCUAUACAGAGAAACCCUGUCUCAAAAAAUAAACAAACAAAACGCUAAAGG